CAGAGCAACUGAUGAAGAAAAACCAGUAAAACGAAAAACUUAACCAAUAGAUUAACCAGAUCACUUCAGAUGCUGGAUUAGAUAUUUGCCAUGCAGAUUCCUUUCAGAAAUUGACCCAACCCUGUGACCUCUGACUCAUUCUCUCAAGUUGAAGUUCAAAAAACUGUUAACAGAUGUGACACAGCAAAGGACUGAGAUGCGCUUCUGGUUGGCCAUGCAUCCUGCAAUUCUGCAGUUACCAUGAGAAAAGCUUCCUCUGGAUAGUUAUUGCAGCUGUAGCCUGGACCCCAGAAUUGUCACACAUGGGGAAGAUCUGAGCUUACCCUUCAGUGGAGACCAAAGUGGACUCAGACCCAACCACAGCUUGCAGUCAAGACCAGCCGAGCCGAGCCUAGUCAGUCAAGCCCUAGCUGACUGAUUAACAGGAACCAGAGAAUAAAUAAUUGCUAUUUCUAAGCCACUGGAUUGUGAAGUGACUCAGAAUAGUAGUGUUUUGCGGCAAUAUUGACUAAUGCAGAAAUUUGUGCCCAAGAAUGAGGUGCUGACAUAACAAAUACUUGAAAUGUGUGCAUCAGUCUUGGGAUUGGUUGGUGGAGAACAAAGAAAUUUAGAGAAAAGCCGUUGGAAAUAUUACAUAAUGACAACACAUAUGUUAAAACUGUCACCUAUGAGAACCUCAAAGAAAGAAGAGAAACACUGAUUGAAUUUCCACCAUUGGAGGAAAAACAUUCUGAGGCAAAAGUUGAAAAUGUGCUGAUUGUUACUGGCUGCAUUUAAUAAGGUCCUACGAUAUUGGGAGGAGAUCAGAAAAGAAGUUACUGGUG